rnacentral:rRNA from 1 species
AUUGAAACACCAGUUCUUAUAUGAUCACUGAAGUUAAGCAAUGUUGAAUCUGGUCAGUACCUAGAUGGGUGACUACUUGGGAAUACCAGUUGCUGCAAGC